rnacentral:rRNA from 1 species
AUUGAACGCUGGCGGCAGGCCUAACACAUGCAAGUCGAACGAGUGGCGGAUGUGUGAGUAAUUUCUGGGAAACUGCCUUAUGGAGGGGGAUAACUACUGGAAACGGUAGCUCAUACCGCAUACCAUCGGAUGUGCCCAGAUGGGAUUAGCUAGUUGGUGGGGUAAAGGCUCACCUAGCCGACGAUCCCUAGCUGGUCUGAGAGGAUGACCAGCCACACUGGAACUGAGACACGGUCCAGACUGCUACGGGAGGAAGCAGUGGGGAAUAUGGCACAAUGGGCGCAAGCCUGAUGCAGCCAUGCCGCGUGUAUGAAGAAGGCCUGCGGGUUGUAAAGUACUUUCAGCGGGGAGGCGUUACCCGCAGAAGAAGCACCGGCUAACUCCGUGCCAGCAGCCGCGGUAAUUC